ensembl:snRNA U6 U6 spliceosomal RNA
GUGCUCACUUCAGAGCACGUAUACUAAAACUGGAACGACACAGAGAAGAUUAAUGUGGCCCCUGCACAAGGAUGACACGCAAAUUCGUGAAGUGUCCAUAUUUUUA